CUGACUUCAAGUGAUCCACCCGCCUUGGCUUCCCAAAGUGUCUUUUAUUAUAGUUUUAAUUAGAAAGGACAUAACAUCAAUAGAAUUGUCUAAGAAGCUGUGAUGUGACAUCUUUCAGUAUGAGGUGUACAUAUAUGUGUGUAUAUGUAUGGUAUUUAAUGUAACCUACGUGUGUUAGUUUUCUUGUAACACAUUAAAGAUUUUAAGAUACAGAAUUAUGCACAAGUGUUUUGAACAAGCUUUAAAGAUUCUAAAUUUAUCUUUACAGUUUAUCUUCUCAUACUGCCAGCUUUAUAUAUUCAAAUUCUAUUUCUCCUCUAAGGUCAGCUUUCAAAUGUAUUUUUUUUUUCCAGAUUUUUCUUUCUAUUGCUGUUUUAAAGAUUAUUUCCCUACUUUUACCAUACCUUAAGAUAGCUCCUUUUUACUACCAAUAGUAACAAGAAAGCAGUAGCCAUAAGACAUUUUUGAUAGUGUGCUAGUUUGAAAUUUGAAAUUAAUAAUGAGUGUUACAACAGUUUUAAUGGAGAUGAAGAUUAGGUACUGUGGAGAUACAAAAUCCAUAGUUUCUAAAUACCUUCAUUUUUUAAUGAAUUUAGAAAAUUGAUUUCAUGGAGGUAGUAAAUAGAAUGGUGGGUACCAGAGGUUGGGGUGGGUACGGGGAGAGGUUGGGUGAAGAAGGUUAGUUCAGUGAGUAUAAAAAUACAGUUAGAUAAAAGGAAUAAGUUCUGGUGUUCAGUGGCACAAUAGGCUACUGUAGUUAACAAUAAUUUAUUGUUUAUUUUGAAAUAGGUAGAAGAGAAAACUUUAGAAUGUUCCCAGCACAAGGAAAUGUUAAGUGUUUGAGGUGAUGGAUAUUCCAGUUAUGCAGAUGUCAUCAUUAUUCAUUGUAUGCUUGUAUUUGAAAUACCACAUAUACCCCAUAAAUAUGUACAACCAUUAGGUAUCUGUUAAAAAAAAAA